UACAGAGGGUGCGAGCGUUAAUCGGAAUUACUGGGCGUAAAGCGCGCGUAGGCGGCUUUUCAAGUCGAUUGUGAAAUCCCCGGGCUUAACCUGGGAACUGCAGUCGAGACUGUCUAGCUAGAGUAUGGGAGAGGGAAGUGGAAUUUCAGGUGUAGCGGUGAAAUGCGUAGAUAUCUGUAGGAACAUCAGUGGCGAAAGCGACUUCCUGGACCAAUACUGACGCUCAUGUGCGAAAGCGUGGGGAGCAAACAGG
rnacentral:rRNA from 1 species